rnacentral:rRNA from 1 species
UAAGGAAUAUUGGUCAAUGGACGCAAGUCUGAACCAGCCAUGCCGCGUGAAGGAUGAAGGUCCUCUGGAUUGUAAACUUCUUUUAUCUGGGACGAAAACGGGAUUUUUAUCUCAAUUGACGGUACCAGAGGAAUAAGCACCGGCUAACUCCGUGCCAGCAGCCGCGGUAAUACGGAGGGUGCGAGCGUUAUCCGGAUUUACUGGGUUUAAAGGGUGCGUAGGUGGGCUUAUAAGUCAGUGGUGAAAUCUCCGAGCUUAACUUGGAAACUGCCGUUGNUACUAUAGGUCUUGAAUUAUCUGGAGGUAAGCGGAAUAUGUCAUGUAGCGGUGAAAUGCUUAGAUAUGACAUAGAACACCAAUUGCGAAGGCAGCUUACUACAUAUAAAUUGACGCCGAGGCACGAAAGCGUGGGGAUCAAACA